rnacentral:rRNA from 1 species
UACGUAGGGGGCAAGCGUUUGUCCGGAAUCAUUGGGCGUAAAGCGCGCGUAGGCGGCCCGGUAAGUCCGCUGUGAAAGCCCGGGGCUUAACCCCGGGUCGGCAGUGGAUACGGGCAGGCUAGAGGUAGGUAGGGGAGAAUGGAAUUCCCGGUGUAGCGGUGAAAUGCGUAGAUAUCAGGAGGAACAUCGAUGGCGAAGGCAGCCCCUUGGACCUGUACUGACGCUCAUGCACGAAAGCGUGGGGAGCAAACAGG